CAUUUCUAAGUCACAAUUCAAAUAAUAAAGCAUUAUAUAAAUGACGUCAAGAAACGUUUUCUUUUCCUGUUAAACUGUAGUAGUCAAAUGAUGGAAUGAAUAAAGGUUAUAAAAUCUGUAAUUUUAGGGAAUAGUUUUUCGAGUAUGAUUUUUAUUUCAAGGCAAAAAUUCUUAACCUAAAAAAUCUUAUACACACAUUUAGAGUAAAAUAAACAGUCUUACUUUUAAAUUAAAUUUUUUUCUGAAGUUUUCCUUUUAUUAACUUUGAGUAAAGAAUUGUACACUUAAAAAAAAACAAUUUUUCCCUUGAAGUUAUGAAGCAGUUUCAAUUGAAUUUUCUUUUUAAAAGAUCUACCGUUUGAUAUAUCUAAAAAUUGUCUUUGAUCUACUAUGUAUUCCGCUGCGUCUAUUUUAAUUGUAUUUGCUAUUCGAAUUCCACUGAUGCGUCGCUCUAUUUUCUCCGCCUUUGCUGUUGUAUAACAACCAAUGAGACGAAACAACAAAGUUGUCGUCUCCUGUUGCUACUUUUAAGUUAUUUUGUUUGAUUUUUUUUUCUAUUUUGUUUGCAUUUUGCGCACUAUUGCCUCCGUUUAGUUGUUGUUUUAAUAGUCGCUAUAUCUUAUCGCGCUAACAACAUGGUUGUGAGUGUGCUGGCACAGCUCUCGUUGCACGUGUGUGCGUUUUAGUUCAUUUUCAUUUUUUAUGUAAUCAACAAACAAAAUAGCAACGCCUCAGCCUCAGUUCGCUUGCCUUUUGCGUUCUAUGCUGAGGUUCUCAAAAAAAAAGCACACACACGCCUCUACAGCAGCAGUCAGACUGCAUCAGAAGUGUACCUUCUGAGACCUAAAAUAACUGAGCAAAAUAUUCAUAAAAAUAAUACACCCAAUCCGAAAUAAGCCGUGACUUCAAAUACUUCAGCUCAAAACUAUAAAAGAAACAUGGGGAAACGCGUGGCCAGCGGUCUGGACUGCCGUCGAUGACAGUUAAAAAUCAAAUGAAAUGAGUGCCAGCAGCAGCAGUAGCAGCAGUAGCAGCAGCAGCAGAAAAGCAGAGCAGCAUCCAACGAGUCCUGAGGCCGAGACAGAAACAGAAUCAGAAAAACAGAGACCGAGAACCAGAACGAGGCGAGUUCGGUGCGAUUUUAAAAUUAUGAAUUGUUGUAAAUGAAACGAGGCGUAAGCAGAGCGGUGGCAGAGCAAAAGCGUCAUGUGGCUUGGUGGGUGGUGCGCCCCAGUCGUUGCGGCAUUGGUGGUGCGCAUCAGCAACAGCAGCAGCGGCAGCAGCAACAUCGGCAUUACCAACAUCACCAGCAGCAACAGUGCAAAAGUGUUAAUGGAAACCACCCUCGAAGAAAGGUAAAAAGUUUUCAAAGAGUACCAAAAACAGAACGGGACGGAAGCUCAUUGGUCCAUGGGUUGAUCGCUUCCGGAUAUUGCACUGUUGCAUAUUUCAGGUAGUUGAGAUCGGAAAGAAUUUAAGUUUAAGUCACUGGCAAUGCUUUUAUAACGGAAACAUUUUAUUUGCGCCCAACGUGGGGCAUUCGACUUUUUUAAAAAUCGCCAAAAAGGACAAUUGACUUG